rnacentral:rRNA from 1 species
AUUGAACGCUGGCGGCAGGCCUAACACAUGCAAGUCGAGCGAGCGGCGGACGGGUGAGUAAUGUAUGGGGAUCUGCCUGAUAGAGGGGGAUAACUACUGGAAACGGUGGCUAAUACCGCAUACUAUCGGAUGUAACCAGAUGGGAUUAGCUAGUAGGUGGGGUACCGGCUUACCUAGGCGACGAUCCCUAACUGGUCUGAGCGGAUGACCAGCCACCCUGGAACUGAGAGACGGUCCAGACGCCUACGGUAGGCAGCAGUGGGGAAGAUGUCACAAUGGGCGCAAGCCUGAUGCAGCCAUGCCGCGUGUAUGAAGAAGGCCUUCGGGUUGUAAAGUACUUUCAGCGAGGAGGCGUUACUCGCAGAAGAAGCACCGGCUAACUCCGUGCCAGCCGCCGCGGUAAUAC